rnacentral:tRNA from 1 species
GCCGGGAUGGUCGAGCGGUAAGGCGCAGGCCUGGAGAGUACUUUUGUUCUGAUAGGAAUUAAAAUCCAGUUAGCCUGUGGGGAUUAUCCCCUCAAGGGUUCAAAUCCCUUUCCCGGCG